UGUGUAGGCGGUUCUUUAAGUUUGGUGUGAAAUCUCCCGGCUCAACCGGGAGGGUGCGCCGAAUACUGAGGGACUUAGAGUGCGGGAGAGGAAAGUGGAAUUCCUGGUGUAGCGGUGAAAUGCGUAGAUAUCAGGAGGAACACCGGUGGUGUAGACGGCUUUCUGGACCGUAACUGACGCUGAGACACGAAAGCGUGGGUAGCAAACAGGAUUAGAUACCCUGGUAGUCCACGCCCUAAACGAUGCAUAUUUGGUGUGGGUCAUUCAGUUGAUCCGUGCCGGAGCUAACGCGUUAAAUAUGCCGCCUGGGGAGUACAGUCGCAAGGCUGAA
rnacentral:rRNA from 1 species